rnacentral:rRNA from 1 species
AUUGAACGCUGGCGGCAGGCCUAACACAUGCAAGUCGAGCGAGCGGCGGACGGGUGAGUAAUGCCUGGGAAUUGCCCAGUCGAGGGGGAUAACAGUUGACGACGACUGCUAAUACCGCAUACGAUUUGCAUGCCCUGGUGGGAUUGGCUAGUUGGUGAGGUAAUGGCUCACCGAGGCGACGAUACCUAGCUGGUCUGAGAGGAUGAUCAGCCACACUGGAACUGAGACACGGUCCAGAAUCCUACGGGAGGCAGCAGUGGGGAAUAUUCGACAAUGGGCGAAAGCCUGAUGCAGCCAGGCCGCGUGAGUGAAGAAGGCCUUCGGGUUGUAAAGCACUUUUAGCGAGGAGGCGUUACUUGAAGAGGAAGCAACGGCUAACUCCGUGCCAGCAGCCGCGGUAAUAC